rnacentral:rRNA from 1 species
GACGAACGCUGGCGGCGUGCUUAACACAUGCAAGUCGAACGCUGAAGCUCAGCUUGCUGGGUUGAUGAGUGGCGAACGGGUGAGUAACACGUGAGUAACCUUCUCUCUUCUUUGGGAUAACGCCCGGAAACGGGUGCUCCUACUGGAUUUUCCCUGAUUCUCGCAUGUGGGGUGGUGGAAAGGUUUUUUCUGGUGGGGGAUGGUCCCUCGGCCUCUCAGCUUGUUGGUGGGGUGAUGGCCUACCAAGGCUUUUACGGGUUGCCGUCCUGGCAGAGUGACCGGUCACAUUGGGACUGAGAGACGGCCAAGACUCCUACGGGAGGCAGCAGUGGGGAAUAUUGCAGAAGGGGCGAAAGCCUGAUGCAGCAACGCCGCGUGAGGGAUGGAGGCCUUCGGGUUGUAACCCUCUUUCGCACAUGGUCAAGCCGCAGCUUUGGGUUGUGGGGAGGGUAGUGGGUAAAGAAGCGCCGACUAACUACGU